rnacentral:rRNA from 1 species
CACUGUUGGUUAUGUGUGCCCAAGCAUUGAGGCAGUCAAAGUAGGCAAAUCCGCUUUGAUAAUGCUGGGAUGUGAUGGGGAGCGAAAUUUAGUAGCGAAGUAGCUGAUUUCACACUGUCAAGAAAAGUCUCUAUCGAGGUUAAAGGUACCCGUACCGCAAACCGACACAGGUGGGUGAGGAGAGUAUCCUAAGGCCAGCGAGAGAACUGUUGUUAAGGAACUCGGCAAAAUGACCCCGUAACUUAGGGAUAAGGGGUGCCACCAUCAGGUGGCCGCAGAGAAUAGGCCCAAGCGACUGUUUACCAAAAACAUAGGUUUCUGCUAAGUCGCAAGACGAUGUAUAGGAGCUGACGCCUGCCCGGUGCUGGAAGUUAAGGGGAUCUGUUAGAGCAAUCGAAGCAGUGAACUUAAGCCCCAGUAAACGGCGGCCGUAACUAUAACGGUCCUAAGGUAGCGAAAUUCCUUGUCGGGUAAGUUCCGACCCGCACGAAAGGCGUAACGAUUUGGGCACUGUCUCAACAACAGACUCGGUGAAAUUGUAAUUCCGGUGAAGAUGCCGGAUACCUGCGACAGGACGGAAAGACCCCAUGGAGCUUUACUGUAGCUUGACAUUGGGUCUUGGUACUACAUGUACAGGAUAGGUGGGAGGCUUUGAAACCAGGACGCCAGUUUUGGCGGAGCCAUCCUUGGGAUACCACCCUUGUAGUACUGGGACUCUAACCAUAGGCCAUGAAUCUGGUCUUGGGACACUGUCAGGUGGGCAGUUUGACUGGGGCGGUCGCCUCCCAAAAGGUAACGGAGGCGCUCAAAGGUUCUCUCAGUACGGUCGGAAAUCGUACGUAGAGUGUAAAGGCAAAAGAGAGCUUGAUUGCAAGACAUACAGGUCGAGCAAGGAUGAAAAUCGGACUUAGUGAUCCGGUGGUUCUGCGUGGAAGGGCCAUCGCUCAACGGAUAAAAGCUACCCUGGGGAUAACAGGCUUAUCUCCCCCAAGAGUCCACAUCGACGGGGAGGUUUGGCACCUCGAUGUCGGCUCAUCACAUCCUGGGGCUGUAGUAGGUCCCAAGGGUUGGGCUGUUCGCCCAUUAAAGUGGUACGCGAGCUGGGUUCAGAACGUCGUGAGACAGUUCGGUCCCUAUCCGUCGCAGGCGUAGGAAAUUUGAGAAGACCUGUCCUUAGUACGAGAGGACCGGGAUGGACGUACCUCUGGUGUACCAGUUGUCCUGCCAAGGGCAUGGCUGGGUAGCUAUGUACGGAAUGGAUAAGCGCUGAAAGCAUCUAAGCGCGAAGCCAACUUCAAGAUAAGAUUUCCCACCGCAAGGGUAAGACCCCAGAAAGACUAUCUGGUUGAUAGGUCGAAGGUGUAAGUGCAGCAAUGUAUUUAGCUUAUCGAUACUAAUAGGUCGAGGACUUGACCA